GUCGGGGUGGCGGAACUGGUAGACGCGCUAGAUUCAGGAUCUAGUGGGCAGUAGCCCAUGGGGGUUCAAUUCCCCCCCUCGACACCA
rnacentral:tRNA from 1 species